rnacentral:lncRNA from 1 species
AAGCAUGCACUUGUGAACAGAGUGACACCCCCUGGUGGAUGAGAGAAGAUGUGCAGAAGCUGGCUUGGCUAAAUUGUCGCACAAAGCACUGAUGCAGGCUGAAGCUAUGCUCAGAUGACCAGAUGGCAAAAUUGGAGUUCUAUCGGUUUUGUAUGAAAUAUCAGCGGUUGCUCAGAGAAGCGCGAGAGACCUAUCGGGUGACAAAUUUUGAAGAGCUCUUGCAUAACUACGGUAGUAGUCGUAAGGGCUUUUGGGCAGUUAAUUAACUCGUCCAGUCAGGGGGAGUAUCCUGUGGUGGUUGUUGACAGUUGGAGAGGGUACUUCAGCAACUUAAUUAACCAUGGCAUGACUAGUUCUAGGGAUAAGGAUACAGAGGCUAUCAUGAGCUUCAUUAAUGGCAUUGCCUAGUGGCGAUGGUCGGGGUUGGGAUGUCACUAUGGGUGUGGGGGGGCAACGUGUGGAGUCAGCUGCAGAGCUGAACUCACCAAUCACCCUCAAGGAGGUGGUAUUGCGAUUAAAUCUCUCUGCAACAACAAAUCUGGUGGGCUACCUGUGCAAUGCUAUAAGUACGCCAGGAGAGAGGUGGACAGGCACUCCAUGAAUUUUAUUGCCCCCUUCGUUCAUGGGCUUUUUAAACACAUGCAUAGUACGAAGGGCUACCCUAGCCAGUUUGAAGUGCCUUGCUUGACACCAAAGGCGAUUUGUACAAUAAGAGCAAGUAUCGUGGUCUUGCGGUGGGUGGCGCCCUGGCGAAGUGUUAUGCUCAUGUUUUGGAGCGCCGGUUGAGCAAAUGGGGUGAGGUUGCCAGUUCCUGUUGCAGGGUGGUUUCCAGGCCAAGGUAGGCACCAUACACAACCUACUCUUGCUCUGGCACCUUACUGACCGGCACAGGAAUGGCCCUGACAAUACAUUCCCGCUCUUUGUCUGUCAGGUUGAUUUUGAGAAAGCUUUUAAUCGUGUUCCAAAUCGCCUGCUUUGUCUGAUACUUAAGGAGUACGGUAUACACGGCGCCAUGCUGAAGAC